GGUUGAUCCUGCCGGACCCGACUGCUAUCAGAGUGGGACUAAGCCAUGCGAGUCAACGCCGCAAGGCGUGGCAUACGGCUCAGUAACACGUAGUCAACAUGCCCAAGGGACGUGGAUAACCUCGGGAAACUGAGGAUAAACCGCGAUAGGCCAAGAUUUCUGGAAUGGAUCAUGGCUGAAAUCUAUAUGGCCCUUGGAUUGGACUGCGGCCGAUCAGGCUGUUGGUGAGGUAAUGGCCCACCAAACCUAUAACAGGUACGGGCUCUGAGAGGAGGGGCCCGGAGAUGGGUACUGAGACACGGACCCAGGCCCUAUGGGGCGCAGCAGGCGAGAAACCUUUGCAAUGUGCGAAAGCACGACAAGGUUAAUCCGAGUGUCUCCUGCUAAAGGAGUCUUUUGUCAGUUGUAGGAUCACUGGUGAAUAAGGGGUGGGCAAGUUCUGGUGUCAGCCGCCGCGGUAAAACCAGCACCUCGAGUGGUCAGGAGGUUUAUUGGGCCUAAAGCAUCCGUAGCCGGUUGCAUAAGUUUUCGGUUAAAUCUAUGCGCUUAACGUAUAGGCCGCCGAACAUACUGUGCCGCUAGGGAGUGGGAGAGGUACACGGUACUCGAUAGGAAGGGUAAAAUCCUUUGAUCUAUUGAAGACCACUGU
rnacentral:rRNA from 1 species